UACAGAGGUCCCAAGCGUUGUUCGGAUUCACUGGGCGUAAAGGGUGCGUAGGUGGCCAGGUAAGUCUGAUGUGAAAGCUCGGAGCUUAACUCCGAAAUGGCAUUGAAUACUAUCUGGCUUGAGGGUCGGAGGGGAGACUGGAAUUCUCGGUGUAGCAGUGAAAUGCGUAGAUAUCGAGAGGAACACCAGUGGCGAAGGCGAGUCUCUGGACGACACCUGACACUGAGGCACGAAAGCUAGGGGAGCAAACAGG
rnacentral:rRNA from 1 species